GUACCCUCAAGCUUUGCUUGGUGUUGGGCGUCUUAUUGUCUCUCCGUCUCGGGGAGACUCGCCUCAAAACAAUUGGCAGCCGGCCUACUGGUUUCGGAGCGCAGCACAAAUUUGCGCUUGCAAUCAGCCAAGGGCGGCAUCCAUCAAGCCUUUUUUCAUCCACA
rnacentral:misc_RNA from 1 species